GCCCCCGUAGCUCAAUGGAUAGAGCUGCUCCGUCCUAAGGAGAAGAUGUGGGUUCGAUCCCUGCCGGGGGCA
rnacentral:tRNA from 1 species